UUACGGGGCAGUUAUAUCCAUGUGUUUUUUCGACAACAUGGUAUAACUUCCCCGUAACC
rnacentral:pre_miRNA from 1 species